GAGUCGCAUGCUGUAGACCCGAAGCGGGGUGAUCUAGCCAUGGGCAGGGUGAAGCGCCGGUAAGACGGUGUGGAGGCCCGAACCCACCAGGGUUGAAAACCUGGGGGAUGACCUGUGGUUAGGGGUGAAAGGCCAAUCAAACUCCGUGAUAGCUGGUUCUCCCCGAAAUGCAUUUAGGUGCAGCGUCGCGUGGUGCUUGCCGGAGGUAGAGCUACUGGAUGGCCGAUGGGCCCGACAAGGUUACUGACGUCAGCCAAACUCCGAAUGCCGGUAAGUUGAGCGCGGCAGUGAGACCGCGGGGGAUAAGCUUCGUGGUCGAGAGGGAAACAGCCCAGAUCAUCGGCUAAGGCCCCUAAGUGUGUGCUAAGUGGUAAAGGAUGUGGAGUUGCUGUGACAGCCAGGAGGUUGGCUUAGAAGCAGCCAUCCUUGAAAGAGUGCGUAAUAGCUCACUGGUCGAGUGAUUCCGCGCCGACAAUGUAGCGGGGCUUAAGCACGCCGCCGAAGCCGUGGCAUCCCAGCUGUGUGCUGGGGUGGGUAGGGGAGCGUCCUGUACCUGGUGAAGCUGCCGAGUGAUCGUGUGGUGGAGGGUGCAGGAGUGAGAAUGCAGGCAUGAGUAGCGAUUUCACACGUGGGAAACGUGUGCGCCGAUUGACCAAGGGUUCCUGGGGCAGGCUGAUCCGCCCAGGGUAAGUCGGGACCUAAGGCGAGGCCGUGAGGCGUAGUCGAUGGACAACGGGUUGAUAUUCCCGUACCCGCUGGCACGCGCCCAUACCGAACCUUCUGAUGCUAACCACCCGAACCACCUCCUGCUCCUUUGGGGUGGGGGUUUGUGGGGAGGCUGGGGCCCGAGGGGGUAGUAGGUAAGCGAUGGGGUGACGCAGGAGGGUAGCUCAGCCCAGGCGGUGGUUGUCCUGGGGUAAGCAUGUGGCCCGCGUGGUAGGUAAAUCCGCCGCGCAUGCAGGGUGAGGUGCGAUGCCGAGCCGUUUUAGGCGAAGUGAGUGAUCCCAUGCUGCCGAGAAAAGCCUCUAGCGAGUGUGUCGGCGGCCCGUACCCUAAACCGACUCAGGUGGUCAGGUAGAGAAUACCGAGGCGUUCGGGCGAACCGCGGUUAAGGAACUAGGCAAAUUGCCCCCGUAACUUCGGGAGAAGGGGGGCCUCUGCUGGUGUAGGCACGUGCUGCCGAAGCUGGUGGGGGCCGCAGAGAAUAGGCCCAGGCGACUGUUUACUAAAAACACAGGUCCGUGCGAAGUCGUAAGACGAAGUAUACGGACUGACGCCUGCCCGGUGCCGGAACGUUAAGGGGACGGGUUAGCGGCCUUUCGGGGUUGCGAAGCUCGGAACCUAAGCGCCGGUAAACGGCGGUGGUAACUAUAACCAUCCUAAGGUAGCGAAAUUCCUUGUCGGGUAAGUUCCGACCUGCACGAAUGGCGUAACGGCCUGGGCGCUGUCUCGACCGCGGACCCGGCGAAAUUGCACUGCGAGUGAAGAUGCUCGCUACGCGCAGCAGGACGGAAAGACCCCGGGACCUUCACUACAGCUUGGCAUUGGCGUUUGGAGCGGCUUGUGCAGGAUAGGUGGGAGGCCGUGAAGCCCGGACGCCAGUUCGGGUGGAGCCAUCGGUGAGAUACCACUCUGGCCGUUUCUGACGUCUAACCCGCGCCCGUGGAUCCGGGUGGGGGACAGUGCCUGGCGGGUAGUUUAACUGGGGCGGUUGCCUCCUAAAGGGUAACGGAGGCGCCCAAAGGUUCCCUCAGCCUGGUUGGCAAUCAGGUGUUGAGUGUAAGGGCACAAGGGGGCUUGACUGCGAGACAGACGUGUCGAGCAGGCGCGAAAGCAGGGCCUAGUGAUCCGGCGUCGGCAUGUGGAAGC
rnacentral:rRNA from 1 species